GUCGAGCGGUAACGCGGGAGCAAUCCUGGCGACGAGCGGCGAACGGGUGAGUAACGCUUCGGAAUCUACCUAGUAGUGGGGAAUAACUAACCGAAAGGUUAGCUAAUGCCGCAUACGACCUAUGGGUGAAAGCGGGGGAUCGCAAGACCUCGCGCUAUUAGAUGAGCCGAAGUCGGAUUAGCUAGUUGGUAGGGUAACGGCCUACCAAGGCGACAAUCCGUAGCUGGUCUGAGAGGACGACCAGCCACACUGGGACUGAGACACGGCCCAGACUCCUACGGGAGGCAGCAGUGGGGAAUAUUGGACAAUGGGGGAAACCCUGAUCCAGCGACGCCGCGUGUGUGAAGAAGGCCUGCGGGUUGUAAAGCACUUUUAGUGGGGAUGAAAAGCUCAGGGCUAAUAACCUUGGGUCUUGACCUAACCCAAAGAAAAAGCACCGGCUAACUCUGUGCCAGCAGCCGCGGUAAUACAGAGGGUGCGAGCGUUAAUCGGAAUUACUGGGCGUAAAGCGUGCGUAGACGGUUUCGUAAGUCGGGUGUGGAAUCCCCGGGCUCAACCUGGGAAUUGCAUUCGAGACUGCGAGGCUAGGGUGCGGAAGAGGGAAGCGGAAUUUCCGGUGUAGCGGUGAAAUGCGUAGAUAUCGGAAGGAACAUCAGAGGCGAAAGCGGCUUCCUGGUCCAGCACCGACGUUCAGGCACGA
rnacentral:rRNA from 1 species